rnacentral:rRNA from 1 species
UACGUAGGGGCCUAGCGUUGUCCGGAUUUAUUGGGCGUAAAGAGCUCGUAGGCGGUUUGGUAAGUCGGGUGUGAAAUCUCCACGCUCAACGUGGAGGGGCCACCCGAUACUGCCAUGACUGGAGUCCGGUAGAGGAGUGUGGAAUUCCCGGUGUAGCGGUGAAAUGCGCAGAUAUCGGGAGGAACACCCGUAGCGAAGGCGGCACUCUGGGCCGGAACUGACGCUGAGGAGCGAAAGCGUGGGGAGCAACAGGGAUUAAGA